rnacentral:rRNA from 1 species
UAAGCNGAGGAAAAGAAACUAACAAGGAUUCCCCUAGUAACUGCGAGUGAAGCGGGAAAAGCUCAAAUUUAAAAUCUGGCGGUCUUUGGCCGUNCGAGUUGUAAUUUAGAGAAGCGUCUUCCGCGCCGGACCGUGCACAAGUCUCCUGGAAUGGAGCGUCAUAGAGGGUGAGAAUCCCGUCUUUGGCACGGAUGCCCGGUGCUUCUGUGAUGCGCUCUCGAAGAGUCGAGUUGUUUGGGAAUGCAGCUCAAAAUGGGUGGUGAACUCCAUCUAAAGCUAAAUAUUGGCGAGAGACCGAUAGCGAACAAGUACCGUGAGGGAAAGAUGAAAAGCACUUUGGAAAGAGAGUGAAACAGUACGUGAAAUUGUUGAAAGGGAAACGCUUGAAGUCAGUCGCGUCGACCGAGACUCGGCCUUGCCUUGGCUUGGUGUACUUCUCGGCCCGACGGGUCAGCGUCGAUUUCGCUCCUCGGAUAAUGGCAAGGGAAAGGUGGCACCCUUACGGGUGUGUUAUAGUCUCCUGUCGCAUGCGAGGGGUGGGAUCGAGGAACUCAGCGCGCACCUUGGUGUCGGGGCUUCUGCCCACGUCACGCGCUUAGGAUGCUGGCGUAAUGGCUUUAAACGACC